rnacentral:rRNA from 1 species
AUUGAACGCUGGCGGCAGGCCUAACACAUGCCAGUCGAGCGGAUGAAGGGAGCUUGCUCCUGGAUUCAGCGGCGGACGGGUGAGUAAUGCCUAGGAAUCUGCCUGGUAGUGGGGGGUAACGUCCGGAAACGGGCGCUAAUACCACCUACGUCCUGCGGGUGAAAGUGGGGGAGCUUCGGACCUCACGCUAUCAGAUGAGCCUAGGUCGGAUUAGCUAGUUGGUGGGGUAAAGGCCUACCAAGGCGACGAUCCGUAACUGGUCUGAGAGGAGGAUCAGUCACACUGGAACUGAGACACGGUCCAGACGCCUACGGGAGGCAGCAGUGGGGAAUAUUGGACAAUGGGCGAAAGCCUGAUCCAGCCAUGCCGCGUGUGUGAAGAAGGUCUUCGGAUUGUAAAGCACUUUAAGUUGGGAGGAAGGGCAGUAAGUUAAUACCUUGCUGUUUUGACGGUACCAACAGAAUAAGCACCGGCUAACUUCGUG